rnacentral:rRNA from 1 species
GGGUUGUGAGGUUAAGCGACUAAGCGUACACGGUGGAUGCCCUGGCAGUCAGAGGCGAUGAAGGACGUGCUAAUCUGCGAUAAGCGUCGGUAAGGUGAUAUGAACCGUUAUAACCGGCGAUUUCCGAAUGGGGAAACCCAGUGUGUUUCGACACACUAUCAUUAACUGAAUCCAUAGGUUAAUGAGGCGAACCGGGGGAACUGAAACAUCUAAGUACCCCGAGGAAAAGAAAUCAACCGAGAUUCCCCCAGUAGCGGCGAGCGAACGGGGAGGAGCCCAGAGCCUGAAUCAGUGUGUGUGUUAGUGGAAGCGUCUGGAAAGGCGCGCGAUACAGGGUGACAGCCCCGUACACAAAAAUGCACAUGCUGUGAGCUCGAUGAGUAGGGCGGGACACGUGGUAUCCUGUCUGAAUAUGGGGGGACCAUCCUCCAAGGCUAAAUACUCCUGACUGACCGAUAGUGAACCAGUACCGUGAGGGAAAGGCGAAAAGAACCCCGGCGAGGGGAGUGAAAAAGAACCUGAAACCGUGUACGUACAAGCAGUGGGAGCACAGAGCAAUCUGUGUGACUGCGUACCUUUUGUAUAAUGGGUCAGCGACUUAUAUUCUGUAGCAAGGUUAACCGAAUAGGGGAGCCGAAGGGAAACCGAGUCUUAACUGGGCGUUAAGUUGCAGGGUAUAGACCCGAAACCCGGUGAUUCAGCCAUGGGCAGGUUGAAGGUUGGGUAACACUAACUGGAGGACCGAACCGACUAAUGUUGAAAAAUUAGCGGAUGACUUGUGGCUGGGGGUGAAAGGCCAAUCAAACCGGGAGAUAGCUGGUUCUCCCCGAAAGCUAUUUAGGUAGCGCCUCGUGAAUUCAUCUCCGGGGGUAGAGCACUGUUUCGGCAAGGGGGUCAUCCCGACUUACCAACCCGAUGCAAACUGCGAAUACCGGAGAAUGUUAUCACGGGAGACACACGGCGGGUGCUAACGUCCGUCGUGAAGAGGGAAACAACCCAGACCGCCAGCUAAGGUCCCAAAGUCAUGGUUAAGUGGGAAACGAUGUGGGAAGGCCCAGACAGCCAGGAUGUUGGCUUAGAAGCAGCCAUCAUUUAAAGAAAGCGUAAUAGCUCACUGGUCGAGUCGGCCUGCGCGGAAGAUGUAACGGGGCUAAACCAUGCACCGAAGCUGCGGCAGCGACACUGUGUGUUGUUGGGUAGGGGAGCGUUCUGUAAGCCUGUGAAGGUGUGCUGUGAGGCAUGCUGGAGGUAUCAGAAGUGCGAAUGCUGACAUAAGUAACGAUAAAGCGGGUGAAAAGCCCGCUCGCCGGAAGACCAAGGGUUCCUGUCCAACGUUAAUCGGGACAGGGUGAGUCGACCCCUAAGGCGAGGCCGAAAGGCGUAGUCGAUGGGAAACAGGUUAAUAUUCCUGUACUUGGUGUUACUGCGAAGGGGGGACGGAGAAGGCUAUGUUGGCCGGGCGACGGUUGUCCCGGUUUAAGCGUGUAGGCUGGUUUUCCAGGCAAAUCCGGAAAAUCAAGGCUGAGGCGUGAUGACGAGGCACUACGGUGCUGAAGCAACAAAUGCCCUGCUUCCGGUGAAAAGCCUCUAAGCAUCAGGUAACAUCAAAUCGUACCCCAAACCGACACAGGUGGUCAGGUAGAGAAUACCAAGGCGCUUGAGAGAACUCGGGUGAAGGAACUAGGCAAAAUGGUGCCGUAACUUCGGGAGAAGGCACGCUGAUAUGUAGGUGAAGUCCCUCGCGGAUGGAGCUGAAAUCAGUCGAAGAUACCAGCUGGCUGCAACUGUUUAUUAAAAACACAGCACUGUGCAAACACGAAAGUGGACGUAUACGGUGUGACGCCUGCCCGGUGCCGGAAGGUUAAUUGAUGGGGUCAGCGCAAGCGAAGCUCUUGAUCGAAGCCCCGGUAAACGGCGGCCGUAACUAUAACGGUCCUAAGGUAGCGAAAUUCCUUGUCGGGUAAGUUCCGACCUGCACGAAUGGCGUAAUGAUGGCCAGGCUGUCUCCACCCGAGACUCAGUGAAAUUGAACUCGCUGUGAAGAUGCAGUGUACCCGCGGCAAGACGGAAAGACCCCGUGAACCUUUACUAUAGCUUGACACUGAACAUUGAGCCUUGAUGUGUAGGAUAGGUGGGAGGCUUUGAAGUGUGGACGCCAGUCUGCAUGGAGCCGACCUUGAAAUACCACCCUUUAAUGUUUGAUGUUCUAACGUGGACCCGUGAUCCGGGUUGCGGACAGUGUCUGGUGGGUAGUUUGACUGGGGCGGUCUCCUCCUAAAGAGUAACGGAGGAGCACGAAGGUUGGCUAAUCCUGGUCGGACAUCAGGAGGUUAGUGCAAUGGCAUAAGCCAGCUUGACUGCGAGCGUGACGGCGCGAGCAGGUGCGAAAGCAGGUCAUAGUGAUCCGGUGGUUCUGAAUGGAAGGGCCAUCGCUCAACGGAUAAAAGGUACUCCGGGGAUAACAGGCUGAUACCGCCCAAGAGUUCAUAUCGACGGCGGUGUUUGGCACCUCGAUGUCGGCUCAUCACAUCCUGGGGCUGAAGUAGGUCCCAAGGGUAUGGCUGUUCGCCAUUUAAAGUGGUACGCGAGCUGGGUUUAGAACGUCGUGAGACAGUUCGGUCCCUAUCUGCCGUGGGCGCUGGAGAACUGAGGGGGGCUGCUCCUAGUACGAGAGGACCGGAGUGGACGCAUCACUGGUGUUCGGGUUGUCAUGCCAAUGGCACUGCCCGGUAGCUAAAUGCGGAAGAGAUAAGUGCUGAAAGCAUCUAAGCACGAAACUUGCCCCGAGAUGAGUUCUCCCUGACCCUUUAAGGGUCCUGAAGGAACGUUGAAGACGACGACGUUGAUAGGCCGGGUGUGUAAGCGCAGCGAUGCGUUGAGCUAACCGGUACUAAUGAACCGUGAGGCUUAACCUUACAACGCCGAAGGUGUUU